UUAAGCGACUAAGCGUACACGGUGGAUGCCCUGGCAGUCAGAGGCGAUGAAGGACGUGCUAAUCUGCGAUAAGCGUCGGUAAGGUGAUAUGAACCGUUAUAACCGGCGAUUUCCGAAUGGGGAAACCCAGUGUGUUUCGACACACUAUCAUUAACUGAAUCCAUAGGUUAAUGAGGCGAACCGGGGGAACUGAAACAUCUAAGUACCCCGAGGAAAAGAAAUCAACCGAGAUUCCCCCAGUAGCGGCGAGCGAACGGGGAGCAGCCCAGAGCCUGAAUCAGUGUGUGUGUUAGUGGAAGCGUCUGGAAAGGCGCGCGAUACAGGGUGACAGCCCCGUACACAAAAAUGCACAUGCUGUGAGCUCGAUGAGUAGGGCGGGACACGUGGUAUCCUGUCUGAAUAUGGGGGGACCAUCCUCCAAGGCUAAAUACUCCUGACUGACCGAUAGUGAACCAGUACCGUGAGGGAAAGGCGAAAAGAACCCCGGCGAGGGGAGUGAAAAAGAACCUGAAACCGUGUACGUACAAGCAGUGGGAGCACGCUUAGGCGUGUGACUGCGUACCUUUUGUAUAAUGGGUCAGCGACUUAUAUUCUGUAGCAAGGUUAACCGAAUAGGGGAGCCGAAGGGAAACCGAGUCUUAACUGGGCGUUAAGUUGCAGGGUAUAGACCCGAAACCCGGUGAUCUAGCCAUGGGCAGGUUGAAGGUUGGGUAACACUAACUGGAGGACCGAACCGACUAAUGUUGAAAAAUUAGCGGAUGACUUGUGGCUGGGGGUGAAAGGCCAAUCAAACCGGGAGAUAGCUGGUUCUCCCCGAAAGCUAUUUAGGUAGCGCCUCGUGAAUUCAUCUCCGGGGGUAGAGCACUGUUUCGGCAAGGGGGUCAUCCCGACUUACCAACCCGAUGCAAACUGCGAAUACCGGAGAAUGUUAUCACGGGAGACACACGGCGGGUGCUAACGUCCGUCGUGAAGAGGGAAACAACCCAGACCGCCAGCUAAGGUCCCAAAGUCAUGGUUAAGUGGGAAACGAUGUGGGAAGGCCCAGACAGCCAGGAUGUUGGCUUAGAAGCAGCCAUCAUUUAAAGAAAGCGUAAUAGCUCACUGGUCGAGUCGGCCUGCGCGGAAGAUGUAACGGGGCUAAACCAUGCACCGAAGCUGCGGCAGCGACGCUGAUGCGUUGUUGGGUAGGGGAGCGUUCUGUAAGCCUGCGAAGGUGUGCUGUGAGGCAUGCUGGAGGUAUCAGAAGUGCGAAUGCUGACAUAAGUAACGAUAAAGCGGGUGAAAAGCCCGCUCGCCGGAAGACCAAGGGUUCCUGUCCAACGUUAAUCGGGGCAGGGUGAGUCGACCCCUAAGGCGAGGCCGAAAGGCGUAGUCGAUGGGAAACAGGUUAAUAUUCCUGUACUUGGUGUUACUGCGAAGGGGGGACGGAGAAGGCUAUGUUGACCGGGCGACGGUUGUCCCGGUUUAAGCGUGUAGGCUGGUUUUCCAGGCAAAUCCGGAAAAUCAAGGCUGAGGCGUGAUGACGAGGCACUACGGUGCUGAAGCAACAAAUGCCCUGCUUCCAGGAAAAGCCUCUAAGCAUCAGGUAACAUCAAAUCGUACCCCAAACCGACACAGGUGGUCAGGUAGAGAAUACCAAGGCGCUUGAGAGAACUCGGGUGAAGGAACUAGGCAAAAUGGUGCCGUAACUUCGGGAGAAGGCACGCUGAUAUGUAGGUGAGGUCCCUCGCGGAUGGAGCUGAAAUCAGUCGAAGAUACCAGCUGGCUGCAACUGUUUAUUAAAAACACAGCACUGUGCAAACACGAAAGUGGACGUAUACGGUGUGACGCCUGCCCGGUGCCGGAAGGUUAAUUGAUGGGGUCAGCGCAAGCGAAGCUCUUGAUCGAAGCCCCGGUAAACGGCGGCCGUAACUAUAACGGUCCUAAGGUAGCGAAAUUCCUUGUCGGGUAAGUUCCGACCUGCACGAAUGGCGUAAUGAUGGCCAGGCUGUCUCCACCCGAGACUCAGUGAAAUUGAACUCGCUGUGAAGAUGCAGUGUACCCGCGGCAAGACGGAAAGACCCCGUGAACCUUUACUAUAGCUUGACACUGAACAUUGAGCCUUGAUGUGUAGGAUAGGUGGGAGGCUUAGAAGUGUGGACGCCAGUCUGCAUGGAGCCGACCUUGAAAUACCACCCUUUAAUGUUUGAUGUUCUAACGUUGACCCGUAAUCCGGGUUGCGGACAGUGUCUGGUGGGUAGUUUGACUGGGGCGGUCUCCUCCUAAAGAGUAACGGAGGAGCACGAAGGUUGGCUAAUCCUGGUCGGACAUCAGGAGGUUAGUGCAAUGGCAUAAGCCAGCUUGACUGCGAGCGUGACGGCGCGAGCAGGUGCGAAAGCAGGUCAUAGUGAUCCGGUGGUUCUGAAUGGAAGGGCCAUCGCUCAACGGAUAAAAGGUACUCCGGGGAUAACAGGCUGAUACCGCCCAAGAGUUCAUAUCGACGGCGGUGUUUGGCACCUCGAUGUCGGCUCAUCACAUCCUGGGGCUGAAGUAGGUCCCAAGGGUAUGGCUGUUCGCCAUUUAAAGUGGUACGCGAGCUGGGUUUAGAACGUCGUGAGACAGUUCGGUCCCUAUCUGCCGUGGGCGCUGGAGAACUGAGGGGGGCUGCUCCUAGUACGAGAGGACCGGAGUGGACGCAUCACUGGUGUUCGGGUUGUCAUGCCAAUGGCACUGCCCGGUAGCUAAAUGCGGAAGAGAUAAGUGCUGAAAGCAUCUAAGCACGAAACUUGCCCCGAGAUGAGUUCUCCCUGACUCCUUGAGAGUCCUGAAGGAACGUUGAAGACGACGACGUUGAUAGGCCGGGUGUGUAAGCGCAGCGAUGCGUUGAGCUAACCGGUACUAAUGAACCGUGAGGCUUAACCUU
rnacentral:rRNA from 1 species